rnacentral:rRNA from 1 species
UACGUAGGGUGCGAGCGUUAAUCGGAAUUACUGGGCGUAAAGCGUGCGCAGGCGGUUUUGUAAGUCAGAUGUGAAAUCCCCGGGCUUAACCUGGGAAUUGCGCUUGAAACUAGCGGGCUUGAGUGCGGCAGAGGGGGGUGGAAUUCCACGUGUAGCAGUGAAAUGCGUAGAGAUGUGGAGGAACACCGAUGGCGAAGGCAGCCCCCUGGGUCGACACUGACGCUCAUGCACGAAAGCGUGGGGAGCAAACAGG